UGGGGGAAUAUUGGACAAUGGGCGCAAGCCUGAUCCAGCAAUGCCGCGUGUGUGAAGAAGGCCCUCGGGUUGUAAAGCACUUUUAUCAGGAGCGAAAUCUGCAAGGCUAAUACCCUUGUAGUCUGACGGUACCUGAGGAAUAAGCACCGGCUAACUCCGUGCCAGCAGCCGCGGUAAUACGGAGGGUGCAAGCGUUAAUCGGAAUUACUGGGCGUAAAGCGUGUGUAGGCGGUUUGUUAAGUCUGUUGUGAAAGCCCCGGGCUCAACCUGGGAAUGGCAAUGGAUACUGGCAAGCUAGAGUGUGAUAGAGGAUGGUGGAAUUCCCGGUGUAGCGGUGAAAUGCGUAGAGAUCGGGAGGAACAUCAGUGGCGAAGGCGGCCAUCUGGAUCAACACUGACGCUGAGACACGAAAGCGUGGGGAGCAAAACAGGAUUAGAUACCCUGGUAGUCCACGCCCUAAAACGAUGCGAACUGGAUGUUGGUCUCAACUCGGAGAUCAGUGUCGAAGCUAACGCGUUAAGUUUCGCCGCCUGGGGAGUACGGUCGCAAGACUGAAACUC
rnacentral:rRNA from 1 species